rnacentral:rRNA from 1 species
GCUAUCGCUGAAGGAGGGGGUUGCGUCUGAUUAGCUAGUUGGAGGGGUAACGGCCCACCAAGGCAAUGAUCAGUAGCCGGUCUGAGAGGAUGAACGGCCACAAUGGGACUGAGACACGGCCCAUACUCCUACGGGAGGCAGCAGUAGGGAAUCUUCCACAAUGGGCGCAAGCCUGAUGGAGCAACACCGCGUGAGUGAAGAAGGUUUUCGGAUCGUAAAGCUCUGUUGUUGAAGAAGAACGUGCAUGAGAGUAACUGUUCAUGCAGUGACGGUAUUCAACCAGAAAGUCACGGCUAACUACGUGCCAGCAGCCGCGGUAAUACGUAGGUGGCAAGCGUUAUCCGGAUUUAUUGGGCGUAAAGAGAGUGCAGGCGGUUUCUUAAGUCUGAUGUGAAAACCUUCGGCUCAACCGAAGAAGUGCAUCGGAAACUGGGAAACUUGAGUACAGAAGAGGGCAGUGGAACUCCAUGUGUAGCGGUGGAAUGCGUAGAUAUAUGGAAGAACACCAGUGGCGAAGGCGGCUGCCUGGUCUGUAACUGACGCUGAGACUCGAAAGCAUGGGUAGCGAACAGGAUUAGAUACCCUGGUAGUCCAUGCCGUAAGCGAUGAGUGCUAGGUGUUGGAGGGUUUCCGCCCUUCAGUGCCGGAGCUAACGCAUUAAGCACUCCGCCUGGGGAGUACGACCGCAAGGUUGAAACUCAAAGGAAUUGACGGAGGCCCGCACAAGCGGUGGAGCAUGUGGUUUAAUUCGAAGCUACGCGAAGAACCUUACCAGGUCUUGACAUCUUGCGCCAACCCUAGAGAUAGGGCGUUUCCUUCGGGAACGCAAUGACAGGUGGUGCAUGGUCGUCGUCAGCUCGUGUCGUGAGAUGUUGGGUUAAGUCCCGCAACGAGCGCAACCCUUGUUACUAGUUGCCAGCAUUAAGUUGGGCACUCUAGUGAGACUGCCGGUGACAAACCGGAGGAAGGUGGGGAUGACGUCAAAUCAUCAUGCCCCUUAUGACCUGGGCUACACACGUGCUACAAUGGCGUAUACAACGAGUUGCCAACCCGCGAGGGUGAGCUGAUCUCUUAAAGUACGUCUCAGUUCGGAUUGUAGGCUGCAACUCGCCUACAUGAAGUCGGAAUCGCUAGUAAUCGCGGAUCAGCACGCCGCGGUGAUUACGUUCCCGGGCCUUGCACACACCGCCCGUCA